AUACGGAGGGUGCAAGCGUUACUCGGAAUCACUGGGCGUAAAGCGCGCGCAGGCGGUCUUUUAAGUUGGAUGUGAAAGCCUACGGCUCAACCGUAGAACUGCAUCCAAAACUAUUAGACUAGAGUGUGGGAGAGGAAGAUGGAAUUAGUUGUGUAGGGGUAAAAUCCGUAGAGAUAACUAGGAAUACCAAAAGCGAAGGCAAUCUUCUGGAACACUACUGACGCUGAGGCGCGAAAGCGAGGGGAGCAAACAGGAUUAGAUACCCCAGUAGUCC
rnacentral:rRNA from 1 species